rnacentral:rRNA from 1 species
UUACGGAGUUGACGAUUGACGGAGCGAAGCGACGUCAAAGCGUUCAUUAAAGUCGAGUUGGCUUAGGGAUACGUUCGUUGGGUAGGGGAGCGUUCUGUAAGCCUGUGAAGGUGUGUCGUGAGGCAUGCUGGAGGUAUCAGAAGUGCGAAUGCUGACAUAAGUAACGAUAAAGCGGGUGAAAAGCCCGCUCGCCGGAAGACCAAGGGUUCCUGUCCAACGUUAAUCGGGGCAGGGUGAGUCGACCCCUAAGGCGAGGCCGAAAGGCGUAGUCGAUGGGAAACGGGUUAAUAUUCCCGUACUUGGUGUUACUGCGAAGGGGGGACGGAGAAGGCUAUGUUGGCCGGGCGACGGUUGUCCCGGUUUAAGCGUGUAGGUGUGUGUUCCAGGUAAAUCCGGUUCACUUUAACACUGAGGCGUGACGACGAGGCACUACGGUGCUGAAGCAACAAAUGCCCUGCUUCCAGGAAAAGCCUCUAAGCAUCAGGUAACAUCAAAUCGUACCCCAAACCGACACAGGUGGUCAGGUAGAGAAUACCAAGGCGCUUGAGAGAACUCGGGUGAAGGAACUAGGCAAAAUGGUGCCGUAACUUCGGGAGAAGGCACGCUGACACGUAGGUGAAGUGAUUUACUCAUGGAGCUGAAGUCAGUCGAAGAUACCAGCUGGCUGCAACUGUUUAUUAAAAACACAGCACUGUGCAAACACGAAAGUGGACGUAUACGGUGUGACGCCUGCCCGGUGCCGGAAGGUUAAUUGAUGGGGUCAGCGCAAGCGAAGCUCCUGAUCGAAGCCCCGGUAAACGGCGGCCGUAACUAUAACGGUCCUAAGGUAGCGAAAUUCCUUGUCGGGUAAGUUCCGACCUGCACGAAUGGCGUAAUGAUGGCCAGGCUGUCUCCACCCGAGACUCAGUGAAAUUGAACUCGCUGUGAAGAUGCAGUGUACCCGCGGCAAGACGGAAAGACCCCGUGAACCUUUACUAUAGCUUGACACUGAACAUUGAGCCUUGAUGUGUAGGAUAGGUGGGAGGCUUUGAAGCGUGGACGCCAGUCUGCGUGGAGCCGACCUUGAAAUACCACCCUUUAAUGUUUGAUGUUCUAACGUGGACCCGUAAUCCGGGUUGCGGACAGUGUCUGGUGGGUAGUUUGACUGGGGCGGUCUCCUCCUAAAGAGUAACGGAGGAGCACGAAGGUUGGCUAAUCCUGGUCGGACAUCAGGAGGUUAGUGCAAUGGCAUAAGCCAGCUUGACUGCGAGCGUGACGGCGCGAGCAGGUGCGAAAGCAGGUCAUAGUGAUCCGGUGGUUCUGAAUGGAAGGGCCAUCGCUCAACGGAUAAAAGGUACUCCGGGGAUAACAGGCUGAUACCGCCCAAGAGUUCAUAUCGACGGCGGUGUUUGGCACCUCGAUGUCGGCUCAUCACAUCCUGGGGCUGAAGUAGGUCCCAAGGGUAUGGCUGUUCGCCAUUUAAAGUGGUACGCGAGCUGGGUUUAGAACGUCGUGAGACAGUUCGGUCCCUAUCUGCCGUGGGCGCUGGAGAACUGAGGGGGGCUGCUCCUAGUACGAGAGGACCGGAGUGGACGCAUCACUGGUGUUCGGGUUGUCAUGCCAAUGGCACUGCCCGGUAGCUAAAUGCGGAAGAGAUAAGUGCUGAAAGCAUCUAAGCACGAAACUUGCCCCGA